CCAAAGGCUCUUUUUAAGAGCCACCUAAUACAACUAAAUAAAUGUGCG
rfam:Salmo salar isolate Sally breed double haploid chromosome ssa21, whole genome shotgun sequence.